rnacentral:sRNA from 12 species
UACCGUUAGCAGGGGUUGACUAACACAAUGUUGCACCCUUGACGCAAUAGUUAAUGGCGAGCAUUGGUUGCAAACGGUCGUGUUUCGAUAGUCAAAGCGGCAAACCGAAAACCCAAACUGAAGUGAAUGGAUAUUGUCAACAACACCUUUUUGGGGGAACAAAAAUUGAAUGAAAAGAAAAAAUUAAGAAAAACCAAAGAAGGCCCUAAAUAAAGUGAAUUAAAAAAAAAAAAACGAAAAAUAAAAAUUAUUAACAGUGAAAUAACAAAAGUAAAGUUUAAAAAAAUUAAAGCUAAUUUUCUUGUGGGUGAUUGUUGGCUUAAAAUCUAGAAAAAGGAAUCUCCAAAAAGUGCUGAACGAAUGAAAAAAGCCUAUUGUUAAUAUAUCAAUAUUGAAACUUUAUUGUAUAUACCUACCAAAACACUGACACAUACAAACCAACCUAUACUCAAAAAAAAGGAUAACCAAAGGAUAAUGACCUAAAAUAAUGUUUGCUGAUAAAUCGGGACCGAUUUGGAUGAUACUCUUGUAUACAUAGUGCAACCAAUUAAAGAUUUAACAAAAAACUAUUUUCAAGGCGAGUAAAAGAACGAAAUAUUUAAGAGA